CUUCCCUCUUUCCUACAAAAGCUCGGGAAUCAUUGUGGAAGAGCAGACGGAAAGAGUAUAAGAACCAGAGAUGGUGGAUGACUGCAAGGAAAUAAUAGUGCCUUCUAGGCACAGCAGGACAGCUACACAUAUGAAGUCACAGUGGUUGUGACAGCAUACAUACUCCCUGUGAGCCUCAAGCCAGACUAAAUCCCAGUAUGGACAGGGGAGCUGUAAGUGAAGUCCCACCUUUCACUGAGGAGAUAUAAGCAAUUGGCACCUGCUGGGAAAGGGAGCAUCUGUUUCUUUGAAGUGAUGCCAUUGACAGGAUCACAAUGUGAAAGCUCAGCUUCUGUCCCUGCCACCAUGUGUUCAAGCCACCAUCAUGGACUCUACUCCUCCGGAACCGGCUCAGAAUGCGCUGCAGAGGAGGAGACAAAGAUUGUAAGAGCCAGUGGGGACAGAAGACACCAAGAAAACAAGCCCUUCUAGGCGAAGCAGGACAGCUCCACGUAUGAACUCACAGAGACUGCUGCAGCACGCACAGAGCCUACACGUCUGACUCAGAUGAGAUUCCAGCACUGAGAGGAGAGGUGGACACGAGCCCAUCCCUAACCUAGAAGCUAUCUCAGCUGAUAACUCUCAGAAACGAAAAAUAAGUUUUCUCCAAGGGAGUCUCACUGGGGAUUAAACAGGGCCACCCCCGUGGGCAGGAGUUGAAACUAUCUACUGGAGCAUGAAUAACUCGCCAGUGGCCACAUCACUGAAGACAAUGACUUCCUCUCUCCCGCAGCCCUCCACUGCCAUUAGCUCCAGUGGGUGGAAAGGGACCCCAUGAAUCCAUCCCCUUCUAUGCAGGUAACCCAGCUGCUGUGGAUUUGAGUACCAUGGCCAUCUAUGAUGCUGGGUUUUUUUGUUGCUGUUGAUAAGACGUUUCUCUGAACUGAGAGGGAACUGCUGUGUCAAAUGAGGCUCACAUCAAUAUUUUUUCUUGUUACAAAGAUUCUGCUUUUUCAAAUCUCUUUUGUUUUUCUCCACAACUAUCGCUGUUCUCUGACAGUGGUGUACAUGGUGGGUAGUGGGCUUUACUCCAGAUGUACAGAUAGAGGUGUACUUCAAAUCAAUUUCCCGCAUCAAGUCUCUGCUGCUGCUAAGAAAGUCAAUGUCAUUUUGUUUAUUUUUUUAAUGAACACAUUUUUGAACUUAGAGCAUUUCCAAGGUUUUUUUUUCUUCUGUUUAAUAAUAUAAUGGUUUUGACAGUUUGGGGAGAGAAAAAUGAUAAAAUCUCCAACUAUGGUUGUAGAUAUGUCUGUGUGGUCCCUUCAGUGGUGUCAUGAAUUUAAAAACCCUUUUUAGGUGCAUAUAUAUCGAAGAUGCCUCUUUCUUUGCGAUGAAUUGAUCCCUUAUCAUUGUGCCCUGCUUGCCUCACCCUAGUACCUAGUUUUAAAAUUCACAGUAUGGAUAUAGUCACUCCUAGGUUUCUUAUGACUAAAACCUGUGUGGCAUAGGCUUCCCUAUCAUUUUUACUUUUAAGAUACCUGGAUUCCCAUCCUCAAAAUAUGUUUCAUAUAGUUAAUAUUUACCUACAUCCUUUCUCCAUGACUUAACCCUGUAAUGCGAGGGUUUGAUAUAUAAGUGCGUUGUAAGGUGAUUAGAUGAAGUAAUAAAACAUUAAGAUUUUGUUUAUUUACUUUUGUUCUUAUAUCCCAACCAAAGUUUUCCCUCUCUUUCCUCUUCUCAAUUCCUCUCCCCCUACCUCCCCUAUACUGCUCCCCCCAUUCACUCCUUCUCCACUGUUUCUCUUCAGAUACAGGUGGACCUCCCAUGGAUAUCAACCAGCCAUGGUAGAUCAAGUUGCAGUGAGACUAGGCCCCUCCUCUUCUGUUAAGGCUGGAUGAGGCACAAUCAGUAGGAGAAAUAGGUCCCCAAAGCAGGCAUCAGAGACAGAGACAGCCCUGCUCCCACUGUCAAGGGUCCCUCAAGAAGACCACAUCACGAAACUAUAACAUAUGUGGUGCUGUCCAGAUCGUCUUCUCAUUCACCUCUGUCUGUAUGCUUCUGCUUUCCUGAUUAGUUCUAAGUUUUCAGUUUGGCUUUGUUUUGCUCGAUUAAUUUACUGUAAUGAUUUGGGGUCUACGAUCUGUAGGGCCUGAGACCCCAUGGCUGGAACUCUUAGGCAAGGACUGUCCUUAUUCACAGGGAACUUCUUCCCCAGGGAGCCUCUGUUCUGCUCUUCCUGCCUCUGAUAGAUUUGAUCAGACCUACUCAGUCCACCCAGGGUCGUUCCUUCCUAAGCAUUAACUGACACACACACACACACACACACACACACACACACACACACAUACACACACACACACUGUGGUUUUUGGUCUACUGACUAGGUCUUGUGCAUGUUUCUUUACUGCUUCAUCUGUCUACUGAUUUCAUUUUGGUUCUAGAUAAAGGAAUUUCAGCAUGACGUGAAGUGUGAACCUUUAAGGGCUACCCCUCAAUGUCUGUGAACACAGCCAGGCCACCCUCCUCCUGUCGGCAGAACUGGGGUGAUGUGUGGGCUCUGAGAGUGGCUUGACUGGCUGCUUCCUCGUCCUUCCGUGUGGUUAUCCUGGCCUGACCUCUCAAGUAUGUCACCUGGUACAUCUGGUGCAUGGAGGGGUGCACACCUGCACGGGCCUUCCUCAAGUCUCUGUCUACCUUCCCUCUUUCUGACACUCUGCCCUGCACAUUCUAGCGGAGUUGACUGAGCUUAGUUCUUUCUUCUGCCCAGCAAGACAUCUGGGCUCUGAAUAAUAACAUUGGAGUCUAAAAAUUCCCUUCACACAGGGAAGCAGAAUUACCGUGGAUUUCCCUACUUUUUGCCCCUCCUUUAUGGGUCUGCGCCACUUAGGUCUGAGUCCCUCAAAAAAUGUUUCAUACGUUUUUUUCCACUUGUACAUUUAUAGCGGGAGGGUGAUCAGACAGUCUUACUUGUGGUGACAUGGAUAUCAUGCUAUGCUUUUGUUGACAUUAGUAUGCUAACUUGUGUGACUCUGUUUAAAAAAAAAAAAAGUCUAGCAUUGCUGUAUUUCCAGCCAGCUUCUGAGGGAGAUCUGCACAAAGUUUCUAGAUUGAAAUUCCCUUAGAGUCCUUGGCUCAGUCCUUCUAAGAAACUGUUCUGAGUGCCACUUUGACUGCAGGCUCAGGGUACACAUCUCUACCUUUUAUUAAUAUCAGUUAGUUUCACAUCACUGUGACCAGAAUACCUGACAGGAAAGACUUAUGAGACAAAAAGAUUUCUUUUGGUUCCGUUGGAGAGAAUCGUGGUCUAUUAUGGCACAAAAGGCAUGCCCACAGCAGUGAGAGCACAUGGCAGAGACUCCCUGUGUGGUGACUAAGAAGCAGAGAAGGUGCUGGAACAAGGGGUCAAACUGUAACCUUCAGAAGGACGUCCCUAGUGGCCUACUUCUACCAGCCGGCCCCACUGCCCCAACUUCUUGCCUCCCCAAACAGGGCAGCUGGCUGGGAGUAAGUGUUCCAAGCAUGAGCCCAUAUGGAACACUCCUGGUUAGAUCAUAGCACCCCCAAAGCCACUAGUGCCCAUGGGAUUGCCUUGCUUUGAUCGGCCCAUGGCUGACCCAGCUCCUCUCCCUACAUCCAUUUUAGACUGCACAGAGUGAGAGCAGACAAGAGAGGAACUCAAGAGAAAAAGAAACACAAUGUUAUUUGAAGAGGAGGACAGGCAGGGACUGAAACCGCAUGCAUCCCUGCCUGUGAUGAAGGGAGUCCAGAUAGUCCAAGCCUCCUUGUGGUGCAAAAUAUUUUGAGCAAUAUGGUGCUUUCUGGAUUCUCUAUCUCUUCAGUGUUCCUUUGAAAGUUUUCUUUUGGACCCAUCUUAGGGCUGUCUUUUGUGUCCUUGAGAUUAAGACAUGAUCCCUAAGAUGCUUUAUGUGCCUUAGAGAAAAUGAUCGUUCUUGCCACCCUGGGUCUCCUUUCCCCUUGUGUCUCGAGGCACUGCUCCUGAAAGCCUUGUUGGGGGCCUUCUGAGGUGCAGGUGUUUCCCGUGUAGGCCCUUGCAUGUACUUCUGUAUCCAGACAACCUCUCCUCCACUUCUAUCUGUCCACCAAGGGUCAGCUGCAGGUUAAAUGACAUCUUCCUAGGAAGCUUGCUUGACAGCCCAGACGUGGCUGAGACAUACCCCUCUUAGGAAUUAUAAAGCUCCACGAGGGAUGGAAUUCCUAUGCUUCAUUCACAAAUGUAACUGGGACCUGUCAGUGUUCAUUAUACACACAGCCGGGAUGCCUGGAGAACAGCUAACCUCUGAACUCAUUGCUAAACUAGACAAAUUCCAGUACAGUUCAAAAGCUAAGUACACGGACUACAUGCCCAUCAGCAGAGCAAGUUCAGAGCUGUACAACAUGGCUGACCCAUGUGAGCCUUUAUGCCUCGGUUUUCCCAUUGAAAAGAAGCAGGAGAAGAAUACCUGUGCAGAGAGGUACCCUGCAUGUCAUGAAGCAUCUAAUGGAUGAGCAGAGCAUCUGCUUCCCAUGUCCUCUGAUCAUCUGGGUUUGGCCAUGAUGGGUAGGUGUACACAGUGGACAGUGGGAGCUGGCAGGAGCCUGUGGCUUCUGACAUCACAUGGUUCUUGUCUUAUAUUUCAGGCGCACACUGGGCUUUGGUAAGAUACAUGAAGAGCAUGUCCCUAACAGUAGGUUGGUGUCAAGAAAUAGAAUGUCUGUCAGUUCUUCUGCCUCCGCUCUCACGUGUGUGACUCUCAGCAGGUGCUGCAGAUGGUGUGAGCAUGCCCUUCGCCUCAGGUUCAGUUGGCAAAAUGGAAAGGACUCGGAAUCUCCUUCUUCAGGUCAGGAGAACUUCUUCAGGUCAGGAGAAUGAGUAUCCUUGGGGCCCUUAGCAUUUACUGGCCUUCAGUUCUGAAAAAUGAAACCUCAUAGUUUCAAAUAUUAAAACUGCUUGAAGUUAGAGCCUUUUGUCAAAGUGCUAAAUAACAAGAGUAUGAUUAGAUAUUGUCCCGCUAUGUGCACUUUUAAAAUUUUGAUGGUUGGGCCUCUUGGUCACAAUCAGUUACCUAAAGCAUUUCAGCUUUCUCAUCUCCUUUUCCUAAUCAUUAGGGAACAAUCUCAUCAUUGGGACUUCACAUGUCUGUCUUUCUUUAAACCAGGAACUGCCCAAAGCUCCUAGUUCUGAUUUGAUUGUGUCCUUUGAGGGCAGUUUUGAUAACUGUCGUUCUCUUUCCCUGGCUGUCAGACUUGCAGCACAGCCUGGCCCUAGUUUGGGGGGUGAUAGCUAAUAGACACUCGCUUUGCAGAUCCAUGAGAGUAUAAAUUAGACCGUUAGGGACCAGUCUGGUUUUGAACUCAUUCUUAUACUAGUAUAAAUAAUGAAGGAUGCUAAGAUGCUUCCAUAUAUUUAGUUGGAUAUAAUUAAAACCCCAAAGGUUGUGGUUUUUAAAAGCUACAUUUGCCUGUUGUCUGCUGGGAGUUCAAGGUCCUGGAAAACGAGAGCGUUUCUGUCUUAUUCUUUUCUUUGCCUUCCCUAUUUCUGCUCUCCUCCUCUCUUCUGCUGCUCUUGCCUUCCAGCCCUCCAAUUAAAGGCACAGUCCAUGAACUUUAGUGUCAAGAAGGGUGAUGGGGGAUGAUUUCUGUUUCCAAGGAGCUGUUAGGGAACAGCCAGAUGAGAGAACUAACUGAAUAAGAUGUGGUAAGUGAUGGAUGAGGCAGCAUGCCACAGUCUCCGUCAGGGUAUUUAGCCCUUCUGGGUAGGAUCAGGAGUCAGAAAGGCAUUCUGGGAGAGGAUCCAUCUCAGUUCAUGAGAGGUCAUCACCCUUUGGGGAAUUUUCUUUGAAGAUAAUGUCUCUGUUCCUAUCUCUGUCUCUCUCUCUGUCUCUCUCUCUCUCUCUCAUUUAUUAUAUGAAUCCAACAAUAUUGCUUCCUGUUCUUGUUCAUACUAAAUGUCACUUUGCUUCUGUCUCUCCAUGAUCUCAAAUAUCCAAAUACUCUUCCUCUAGAUCUCCACCAACACUGGGGACUAGGAACAGCUCAUGCUCAUGUGUAAAUGACUGCUAGGACUCGGUCAUUCUUUAGUGAACUUUUACAGGAAACGGUCACCCACUCCAUUUAUAAAUUCUGGAAAGAGAAUGGCAAGUCUGAGGAUGGAGGAGAACAGAGCUACACUCUUGAUGACACCUCUGAGGACCAGGAAAGAUGGAGUUUCCCACAGGGACCUCUUGGUACGGGGCAUUGGAAAGGCAAGCAUAUGGCAGCACCAUCUGGCUCCCUUGGGGCAACCCGAGGUUCUACAAAGUACCCAAGCUCUUUGCUCCAGGUGUGAUCACGAGCUUCUGUGUCCCUGUUUCUGGAUUCAUGAGGACAAGGCCAUGUCAGGCCCCAGAAGAGGAGCUGGGAAAGAAGACAGAUGGCUGGUAAAAUUUUCACAGUGGACCGCACACUGCUGCACAGCGGUGCCUGAGCCAUGGGGACGAUGGGAGCAGCUUGAGUCUGCAGUGGCAGCCCCACCUUCUGUGGUAAGUGCAUUGUGAUGCCGUGGUAGAUAGUACAUGUGUGCAGACACUUGGCUCCAUCAACUGGCAGGUGUAAGUGCCAAUUGCUGCUGGCUCGCCUCCACUUAUGUACUCACUGGGUGUUACAAAACGCUUGUUUUGGGUCAGGUACCAGGAACAUAGCAAUGGAAAAGACAAAGUCUUAGCUCUGCAGAGGAAAAUGGAAGAUAAACAACAGACCAGAGAAACAUUUCAGGUAGUAGCGAUAGCUAUGAUAACCAUAACACACGAUGAUGGAUGACCAUCACUGCACUGGGGAGCAGGAACACUAGGAGAUUUUAGGGGUGUGUGUCACGGGAAGAGGCUCUGCUUGGCUCACUGGAAGAAGAAUGAUGAAUUUAUGGACAGCCCUUGAGACCAAGGAGAUAGGGACCACCAAACCUUAGCAACUCUGAACUCCUUUUGAUAUCAGCAACUUCCAGUUCUUCCAGGUCCUGCGGGACAGCUCUGCCUACUUCUUCCUCCUGUCUACCUUCCACUCAGCCCUCAAUUGUUGCAGUUCACACCGGUUCACUGCGGAGAUUCUGUAGCUGGCUAAGAUUUAAUUAACCAAUGAGGGUGAAAAAAAAAGAGAGAAUUUCAAACACUUGCCUCUUCUGACUCCUCUGUAAGAGACUAGGGUGCCAAGGCCACACUACAGCCCCAGGUAGCUUUGAAUUUGCAGUCCUCCUGCCUUGGCGUCCUAAUGCUGUUAUUACAGAUUUGUGCCACAAGGCCUGGCCCAUGAGAGAAAAAUUUUGAGCCUUAACACGGGGGGAGGGGGGCGUUGUUAAAUUUUACAGUGCUAGCCAGAGUGUGGUCAUGUGGCCAGAGACCAGCCAUUGGUUUCUGUUGCUGGAAUUUGAAUGCUAAAAAAAGAGAUGCAAAGACCAAGGACCAAAUAGGAAAUUAUAUUGAAAGGGAUAAGAGUACUGAGCCAUGCCUUCCAGGUUCCUCAAAUACAUAAUACAACUGAAUUCACAGCUUUGGCCCGAGGUAGCUAGAUUGGGAACUCACUAGUUCUGUCUCUGUUUCUGUCUCUGUCUCUGUCUCUGUCUCUGUCUCUGUCUAUCUGUCUGUCUCUCUCUCAUUUGUAAUCUUGCUUGAUAUUGAUGGCUAAAGAGUUAUUAAGAAAUUAUUCUUAGGAAGGAAAAGGUAUAACAAAAAUAUGGUUACUAAAAUCUUAGUUAAUUUGAUGGUACUGGAGCUAAUCAAGCAGGAAAGGGGAAGUAAAUUCUGAAAUCAUGAUCUUUGGUUACUUAUCAGUGUUGAACAGAGAAUUUGGUCUUGGGGUUGUUAAAAUAUAACAAAUAAGCAUGGAACAAUAGUCAGGCGUCACAAAUUUGGUUGGAAAAUGAUCUAAUCACAUUUCUUCUAUAAAACAAAUACCUAAAUUAAAUAACACAAAAAAGUUGAAAAUAGAAAUGAAAAAGAUAAUCUUUUUAAAUGAAAUUCAGCUACAUGGCUAAAAAUAUCCUGCCCAAAGUGUACAGAUAGCUUAGUGGUUAAGAGCCUGGUUGCUUUCUCAGAAGACCUGGGUUGGAUCUCAUCCCCGACAGCUGCAGGUAACUCUAGUCCCAGGGAAUCCAAUAUCCUCUCCUGGCCUCUGCAGGCCCUGCAUGAACAUGUACAUAGACACAUAAAAUAAAAAUAAAGUUCUUAUAAAAGAGUAUUACAUGGAUCAAAGUAUCUCUUCUUGAUGAAAAUGACAUUCUACCAAAUACACACCAAUUUAACCACCAAACACGGAAGCACUGAUGUCUACAUUACUCAAAACAGACAAAACAUGCUUCUAUAAAAUAUGAUGUAUCAUACUUACACCAUCUAUAUUUUUAUAAUAAUACAAAAGGAAAAGACUAUACCUAUGGAAUAUUUAUCAAGUGUAGCAUGUCAUAGGAUACAAAGAAAAACUCAAUACAAUUCCCCAGUGACAGAACUCAUAAGUCAUAUUCUGUGACCACAAGGCAGUGAACGAAGAAGCUAAGAAACAAAAUUAACUGAGCAAAAUCUAUCCAUUUGGAAUAUUCUAGAGCAGUAUUCUUAAAAUUCUUAGAAUAAAAAGGAAUCAAAGUGGCAUUCUAGACCAUUCAGUAACAAGCAGUAGUGAGGUACUCCGUGUGCCAGUCUGGCAGCCCAUGGAGAGAAAGGGAAAAUGCACAGCCAUAUGCAUUUAAAAGUCUUAAAGAAUGGAAAGAAUUUAGAUAAUGUCUUAAUAAUUAAACUAUACUUAUGAGCCACAAAACCAGGUCAGAAGUAGGUGCUAUAUUAGUCAGAUCCACGUUUCC